rnacentral:rRNA from 1 species
AUUAUUUUAAGAUUAUUUUUUAUUGUUGAAAAAAUUAAAAAUAAAUUGUUUUUAACAAAAAUUAAAAUUUAUAAUAUUUCAUUUUUUGGUUUUUUGUUUUAAAUUAAAAUAAUAAAUAUGGGGGAAAAAAAAAUUUUGUUAUAAAUUAUAUUAGUUUAUUUUAAUUAAAAAUAUUUUUUAUUAAAUUUGUUUUUUUUAUUUUUUUAUAAAAAAUAUUAAUUUAAUUAUUAUUAUUGAGUUUAAUUUAGUUAUUUUUAAAAAAAUUUUGUAUAAAAUAAAUUUGAUAAUAAAUGUUUUUUAAAUUCUUUGGGGGUUUAGUUUAUGAUUUUUUGUUUCUGCUCAUUGUUAAAUAAAAGCACUUUUAGCGUGAUUGGUCAAAGGUAA